rnacentral:rRNA from 1 species
CAGCAGCCGCGGGAAUACAGAGGGUGCAAGCGUUAAUCGGAUUUACUGGGCGUAAAGGGCGCGUAGGUGGUUAUUUAAGUGAGAUGUGAAAGCCCCGGGCUUAACCUGGGAACUGCAUCUUAUACUGGGUAACUGGAGUGCAGUAGAGGGUAGUGGAAUUUCCGGUGUAGCGGUGAAAUGCGUAGAUAUCGGAAGGAACACCAGUGGCGAAGGCGGCUACCUGGACUGAGACUGACACUGAGGCGCGAGAGCGUGGGGAGCAAACAGGAUUAGAUACCCCGGUAGUCCCUGUCUCUUAUAC